AUGGAUCUUUGCCAACUUCUGGGUCAGGAGUUGGCUGCGCUGGAGAUUGAGAUAGUACAGAAGGAGACAAUACAUCCAAGGAAGAGUUGCAAGAUGAACAGUUCAUGCGCAGAUGUCCUUUUUGCUGCACAUAGGUGGCAGAUGUCCAAACCAAGCUUAGUUUUUGAGUCAAAGGAUGUCUUCAAUCAGAAAGCCAGUAACAAGCACUGGAUUGAUGUGCAACCAAGAUGGAGAGACUACGAUUCACACGACAUAGAACGUUACGCAAGAGCAAAAUUUAUGGACUACACGGCAGAUAAUUUGUCCAUCUACCGUUUUUUGACUGGGGUGAUGAUUGGACUUGAUCUACUCCCUCCGUUCCAUAUUACUUGUCGCUGA
rnacentral:rRNA from 1 species